UACAGAGACUGCGAGCGUUAUUCGGAUUCACUGGGCGUAAAGGGUGCGCAGGCGGCCAUGUGUGUGAGGCGGUGAAAGCCCGGGGCUUAACCCCGGAAUUGCACCUCAAACUACAUGGCUAGAGCAUUGGAGAGGGUAGCAGAAUUCAUGGUGUAGCAGUGAAAUGCGUAGAUAUCAUGAGGAAUACCAGAGGCGAAGGCUGGCUACCUGGACAAUGCUGACGCUCAGGCACUGAAAGCGU
rnacentral:rRNA from 1 species